rnacentral:misc_RNA from 1 species
AAUAGGCUAUUUGACUGGUUUUCAAAAUCCAUUUUAUCUUAUUAAGUAGAUAUUAAACAACCCAGUAAUAGCUUUUUUUUUUUAAUUCUUGUACAUAUUUGCUGAAAAAUAUCAAACGUAAAGUACAACAUUUAAAUAUCUCGCCAAUACGCUAUUUUGACAAUAUGGCGCUGCAACGGGGUCGGUGACGUCACUUGCCUGUAGUCUGAUCUGUGGCACCUGUCAUUUACAUACAUUUGUUGCAAACAAAAAAAGAAAGUGUUAUUAUAACAGUGAUUUGUGUAAUAAAAUAAGUUACAAAUGGUAUGCAGUUCCAAAAUGUACGAAUACGUCGAUAAAUACUCCAUAAAAACUAUUCGUAAGUGUUCCAAAGAAUGUUAAAGUGCGCCGAAAGUGGUUGCAACUUUCUCGGAGGGAUUAUUACAUAGCGAAUAAUACAAAUAUUUUCUCCUGUGAAGACCUUUUCGAUAUGGAAAAGUUAAGAUAUUCAACAACCUAUAAUAAACAAUGAUGAGCCUACUGCUACUGCAAUCGAAACUUGUACAAAAAGUAUGCAAACUUAGUCUCUACAGCAUACUGAAAUUAUUUUACGCUUCCAGAGUUUUAUUCCAAUUAACUAAGACAGUAAUAUCAUAUAAUUUCUAAAUAAUUUAUAAAUUAAUUAAUAGUUUUUUAUUUCAGAAUUAUCCCAAAAAUGUGAGAAAAGGAUGUUAACAGAACCUGUUGUAAUAGUAGAAAAAUCAGUCCAGUGUCAUUUGAUAAAUAAAGUGCGUACGAGAAGCAAGAGAGUGCAAACUAAAUCCCUAACAAGAGAUACAGCUAUUUCUCCUCUCAAUACUACUGUUUUGUAUAGUUAUACUUCUCCAUUGUAAAUGAAUUUAUGCUUUUGCCAAAAAAAGCCAUCUACGUCUGGUUCUAAUAAUAUAAAGAAAAGGAUCAACUUCGUGGAUGAUGAAAAAUCUUUAUAUAAAGAAAAUCCUUUGCAACAACAUUCUUUCUGACUUACAGCUACUCCAUCGAAGGUGUCUGAAUCCAGUACGAGCAUUACAUGGAUAAAUGAAGAUGUUAAAAAAUGAAAUGUAUGCAGAAUACUUUGCACUUAAUCAUAAAAAAGCCAAUGAUAUAUAUUGGAAUCCCUGUUGACUGCUAUUUUUUAGUUCAUUUAAUACAUAAACACAGCCACAUACCACAUGAAUAUAUGUUAAAUAUGAAUAUGCUUGAAAAAGAUUAAAUUAAAUAGUACUUUUUCUGACCUUGAAGAUAAUUUUAGACUGUUUGUUUUAAUUAAUUUAUAUUUGGGAGUUUUAAAUAAAACUAUUCCCUUCGGUGAAUAAAUUAAAAAAAAAAAAACGUUUUUUUAUUUUUAUUCCUGACAACAAAGUCAAUCAAAAUUUUAUAAAAAGACUAUCAUCGUUUAUAAUAUAAACCUAUAAAAAUUAUUGCUUGC